rnacentral:lncRNA from 1 species
UGAGCACUGUGGUGUUUAUAGUGUUAGGAGUGGUUAUUGACUAUCGCUUGGCCCCCUCUAUUGUUUCCACUAUGGAGGUGCGAUUACGUUUACAAUUAUGGGGCCUUACUUGCCCUCCGUAAAUCAAGAUAGCAAUGUAGAAAUUCAUAAAGCAAUUUGUGCCUACUAGAGUGUGUCUCUCCAACAAAAGAAUUGCAAAUGAUGCUCAGUGCCCUAGAUGUCAUACGGUGACUGAGGAUGUGUCCCAUGUUCUACGACAUUGUGCUUUUGCAAGGACUGUCUAGGUUGCCCUUUGCUAUGAUCGCUCGCUGAACGAUGAUCAGUUGAGUUUUCCUGACUGGCUUGCUUGGAUGUUUGCCCAUUACCCUGUGUGUAAAAGAACCGAGAUCGUAGUGGUGCUAUGGGCUUUAUGGUUUUCGCGGAACAGCUUAGUGCAUGAGGGGGUUGUUCAAAGGGUGCGAAGUGAUUACCUUUAUUCGAGGAUACUAUUCUGAGAUCGCUGAAGUCGUUAGAGGCCUGGCCCAACCAUCCUAGCCCCAGAUUGUCCGCUGGCUCCGUCCUCCGCUGUCUUUUGUCAAGGUGAGCGUUGAUGCUAGUUUUUCAUUCUCCCUGUAAAAAGCCUAUUCGGGUGUUAUUAUCCGGGACGAGUAUGGUUAAAUAAUGGGCGCUUGUAGUCGACUUACCUCUUACGUUCCUACAAUGUUUAUAGCGGAGGCCCGAAUUGUUGUUCAUGGGCUACUUUCACUUCUGAAAUGGGAUUCCGGUCUGUCAUCAUAGAGAGCGAUGCUCGGGCAGUCAUCUGUAAGCUAAACGCUACCUCGGAGGACCUAUCGGAGAUCAGUGCCUUUAUCUGCGAAGCCACGGAGCAGGUGUGUCGGUUCACUUACCUUGCCAGAUCGGGAAAUUGGCUAUGCAUACAGUGGCUCAAGAGGGUAUAUCGCGGCGGGAGGAUGGAUUCUGGGUGGAGGAAGGCCCGGUGUUGGCUACCUUAGUUGCUGAUGAGGAAAAAAGAUUGAUCGAUCCUCCUUAAGCUUGAUUCUGAAAGGUCUAUUUGGGGGAAAUUCUGAGAUCUUUUGUCUCCCCUGUUUUGCUAACAAUUUUUUUAAAAAAGUCUAUAAA